GGAGGGACAGAGACAGAGAAUGUGGGAGAAUAUCUGGCCUGGCUGAAGACUGUUUUCUGCCCCGCGGAGUUGUGGAUGGUACUGGGUCCAAGUUGUCGGUCCAGCGCGGCUGGCAGAGUUUACACUCAGUUUUGACUCUUCUAAUUGUUCUUAAUUUCAACAUUGGCUAUUUAUGAUCGCCAGUAGGAUUGUUGCUAUUUUUAAAGUCCUGGUUAAAUAAACACCAGUUAGAAAGUUUCUUUUUCAAAGAGACUCCAGUAUCCGAGAUAAACGCUUCUUUUGUCAAGAACAACUUCGAGGGAAACCUCUGCAUUUUAGUCUAAGCAUGCUUAGCGCUUUUUUUUUUUUUUUUAACACCGCUACUACCCCCUACCCCAUUGGUAUUAUAAAGCGAUUUAACAUCCCGGUAGCCUUUAUUUAGGAAAACUUCAGUAGCAUUAAAAAAUAUCAGUAAUAAGGUUUCUCCCUAAGCCUUUGCUUUGUCUCCAGACAAAUUGAUUAUUUCUAUAUUUUAAAGCAGUCGUUAAGGAAAUAAUGGCUUGAUUAGCUGGUGAUAAUUUGGGUUUUGGUAAAAAGAGAAAAGUGGAGACUCUGCUUUAUCCGGUGGCCAGUGCAGAAGCGGUUUUAACUUGGACCCUUUCUUCCUCUUUCACUGUGUAACUUCUUAUGCAUUUUGUCAAGUGCAUUAAGGCAGACAGGAGGACAGUCUGGUUAAAUGUAGGGGGCAGAAAGGAAGGGUAUUUUAAGAUAUUUUCAAAAAAGACACAAUUUUUAACGUGGGAGAUUUUUAGUUAAGAAGUGUGGGAUGGUUGAAAAUAGCACACUACUGAAGAACAUCUGUAUGGCUUUGAAAUACACUUUAUCUAAAAGGAGACACUGUUUCCUAGUAACUAAAAAAGGAUUUGUUACUCAGAUGCAUGCUAUUGGUGAAACUGUUAGUUUGCGUGUGAGUUUUAAAAUCCACCGCUGUGGUGCCUUGCACAGGAGAUCAAGCUGGAGUUGAUUCAGGGUAUCUCUCCUGAUUGCUGUGAUGACUUCAAAGGAUUGUGAUUAUCAACAGCUUGUGGGUGUUUUAUUAAUACAGCUGCAGAGGUUCUUCCAGUUAAGGAUAGCCUCUGUUUUCCAUCCUUGAUUUCCCUGUUUGGUGGAAGCCAUCCCACAGAAGCGAGGCGGCCACACUUUCUCUUUUCCGUCUGUGUGGACACCUUGUUUUCAGAGCUCCGCACUCCACACCCUGGUUGUGGAUUAAUUUACUCUCCCACAUUUGAGGUAAAGGGAAAUAGGUGGGGUAGCCCCAGAGACAAACAAGAGAUGGGGGUCACAGGCGCUGCGCACACCUCAGUCAACAGUCAGCUCCUCCUGCCAGGCUGGAAAUGGUUUUAACAGGCGGUAAAAUUUCAUCUUGCGGUGUCAAAUUGGGGUCAUUUUGGGGUUAGAGUUCUCAGUGUCCGUGAGGAGCUGUCCAGCUGUGUGGGGACUCAUUAACUGCAAAAGAUCUGUUUCAGUAAAAACAAUUCAAAGACAAUCAGAAGGCUAAAGACUCUCUACAAAUCGCAUUUUACAAGUGCCCCAGAACAAAUAUGGUUGGUAAAACCUAUUUCUUCACAAUCCCAAAUCAGCUACUUAGCUCUGGAGUGGGGGGUGGGAACACUGAAUUAAAAAGGAGGUGAAAGGGGGGAGUACCAAAGGGGGCUGAAGAAGGAGAAUUGGGCCUCUCAAAUUUAAGAGUCUGUUUUUAAUCACCCCUUUCUUAUUGAAGCAUCCCCUAGACUUCUGAAAAGCACUUCUUUCUAUUUCUCCUUUUCUUCUUUUGAUCCCUUGUGGAAUGUUACUAUAGGUAACAUUAAGGAUUUCAAAGAAUAAUGUAAGCCCCUAGUUCUGUAGUCCAAUGGCAUUGGCUUUUGGGAGGGGAGUUCAUUUGAAGUAGCAUUUAUAAACUGGAACUUUAUUUUAGCUGAACUUGUUCAGGCUUCUUGAGGUGGUAUAUGUGGCUGUUCUUUUUAUAUGUCCCCUCCCCUCACCAAUUUCCAGAUCCUCUGCACAGAUAAUUCCAAAUUCCUCAGAACUGUGAGGUCCUGAAGUGUUAAUCUGUGUAUUAAAAUCACCAGAUUUAAAUCCCUUUUGUCUUCUUUACAACAGUUAGAACAAUUGAUGCUUUACUACAAGAGCAAGUAAAUCCAGCCUUAAUCUUGUUUGCAACUUUAGUUAAUGUUUUGAUUUGGAAUAUUUUGUAUCAAGGGGACUUUUAUGUAAGAAAAAAACUGAGAUUAUGUUUGAUUUGGGGAGGCUCUGUUCCUCAAUUUGAAGAAAGAUAACUUACUCCUUUGACUUAAGAGGGAUUUCAUUGGGUCAAAGGAGAGUUCAGGGUUAAAAUAGGAGGCUAAACAUGAGAAAUGCUAGGAUUUUUUUGACAAAACAAAGUUGAUAUUUAAAAGUAAAGUAUCAUUUUAAAGGAUAUUUAUUUCCUUGGAUUACUGAACCUAGCAAGCCAAAAAAAAAAAAAAAAAAAAAAAUCCUCAAAACACACCAUCCAUUGGCUCUUUCUCUUCCGUACAACACCUCUGUUCCCAGGCUUUCUAUUCCAUCCACACUUCUUUCCUUCCUUCGGGUUCUAAAGGAGGGUGAGUUUUUGAAGUCUUCCUUUCUCCAGGCUUCCCAGGGUGUUUGCAGACUGUCCUCCAUGGAUUCUGUGGCCCUGCAGAAACAGCCCUGAGCCUGUUAGGGGGACAAAGGCAAAGGGGUUGUCUUCUGCCUUAGUCCUGCCGACUGACGGUGGGAAUUUUUUAUAUUAUAUUUUAUUUGGUAUUUCUAAUAACGUGUUGGCCCCACCGCUCCACCCUUUGAAGCUCCUUAUUACUGUUACACCACCUCUUCUUAAACCUCCGUUCUUCCUUGUGAACUGUUUUUGACCUUCUCAGCAGUAUAACCGAAAAGUUUAGAGUAGAAAGAAUUCUGCUCACUUCCUUACCUGUUACCUUGGUUCAUGUUCUUUCUAGUCGGUGUCCUCAGAGGGAAGGAGUCCCUGUUCCCUGUCCCCUGUCCCCACCACCACCUUAUUGAUUUUUGCUUUUGUUUUGUGUUUAUUUUUAUUUAUUUUUUGCGCUUUUACGCCUUGGUGUUCUAUUAUAGACUUUUCUCCCUGAAAAUAAUACUAUUAAAGCAACCUACAGUUUUUAAAAAUAGGAUGGGGUAGAAUUGCUGCAUUUUGCUGUUUCCCUGUCUAAUUUCUUCCAAUUUUAGCUGUUUCCCUGUGUCGCGGGAAGAGCGAGUUUCAAUAAAUAGCCCUCUAGCGCUAUCUGGCGGGGCUCCAAACGCGCCGAGCACUACGAGCACUACGGCGCUGUCAGUUUCUCCUUCCCGCGCCCUUCUCCUUUCCUCUUUCUCUUGUCUAUACUGCUCUCUGUACCCUAUUUACAGUUCCUUCUUUGCCUCUUCUGUCCUUUUUCUAGUCUCUAUUACAGUAUCCAGUGCAGACAGCGGACCCCGCACCGGCCAGCUCCUUAGCCCUUGCAACUCCAUGGCAGUCCGGCCACUCUGAUCUUGCAGGCUUUCCAGUCCCGAUCCAGCGUGGCUCACGCCCAUCUUCUCCCAUUAAUGAGCACCUUAGCGUUGUUAAACGCCUUGACAAGUCCCACAGUCUUCGCGGGCCGUGUUUUGAAGUGACUUAAGCCUACAAUUGGGAAGUUUGCUGGAAAGAAACAAGACACUGGGAUUCCCCGCUCGCUCGCACAGCCGGGUUAGCACUGCGGGGCUAAGUUUGAAGUCUGAAGCCUGGGGCGCCCGGUGCCAGUGGAAGGAGGCUUCUCAGGGACGUGACAGCACGGCAGGGGACCAAGCCUUUGCCUGAGGAGUGGGACUUCGGUGGAACACGUGCCCUCUUCACCCCAGUAUCUAUCUUUCCAAGGGACUGCCUCAGUCUGCAGUCUGCAUCCAUCUAAGGGGCCUGCCCAUUUCCUCCUCCCCAGUUAACCAGUUUUAUUGCCAGAAUCCCCACCAAACACCUGCACAGUCUAGAGAGAAGUGUCAAAGUGGGAGUAGGAAAGCCCCCCAGGAAAACCCACAGAGCAGAGCGAGCCAACACACACCGUGCGAGGAAGCCAGUGGUGCUUAAACCUGAGUCGCGUGCAUCUUUCGGUAGCCUGUAAACACUGCGGUGUGAGCAGGGUUAGGGGAGACAGAGACCAAGGUAGACGCUCAAACCUGCCAGGUGCCGGAUCACAGGGCUGCUACUACGUUCAUCCACAUUCUCCGUUUCUUUUCCUCUCCCCUCUCCCUCUUGCUCCCUCCCUUCUUUCUGUGUCCCUCAUCCUCCCUCUCAUCCUUUCCUCCCUCCCUUCCCCUGACACUCGGCCUGAGAGAAACCUCCAAUCUUUGCUUUAAGCAAGCGUCUUCCACUUACUCCUCCAAACGCUGGGACACGGGCGGGGGGGGGGGGGCGGGGGGGUGAGUUAUGAAUGUGUUUCCUAAGAGCCAGUUCUUGCUUUGAAGUAGAAGGAGGCCACAUCCCCUGACGUACCUAGAAGGUGGCUAGUACAGGUGUUAGAAACUUUGCCAUUGUAAGUAUUCUGAACCAAAGAGUCUCAAAUCUUGACCCCUCUCUAUAAAAAAAAAAAAUGGCAAAAUGGAAUGGAAAAGAGCAGGGAGGGUGAAGAUUUUCUCCCGCUCCCACUGCUGAGGGAAGGAGGCACAGUUUGGGUGUAAUUAAUUGAAGAUUGUUAUUAGGUCAUCAUUAGUCAACGUGCAAAUAAUUGCUGCCCAUUUUUACUUAAAAUUGACCAGCCUGAGUGUGAUAGAUCGAUUCAGAGGAUAAAAAUGAUGUAUCAAAACAUCAAUGUCGAUUAUCUGAAAUAUUGUAGUCGAAUUUUUUUCUUAUUGCUUCAUCGGUUAAGUGUCUGAAAGUGCGGUGUUCAAACAUAUAUUUAUGUUGUCAAUACUGUCAGAACUGUCAGUUUUACUAUACCGGAUUUGUACUACAUUUCAAAUUUGAUCAUUUGCAUAAAAUGCCCACCCUAGGAUUCCCCUCACUCCCACCCCAUCUCUGGAAAAUCUCUGUCAGUUCCUUCAAAGGAUUCUGCAAUCUUUGCCUAAGCUGAGGUGGGCACUGCUUCUGUUGCUCAAAUUUCCAGGGCAGAUUAUAUGUCUUUUUCACCAUUUCUAACUUUGGAAGAGGCACUCCCUCCUUUUUGCCCAACUAUGCCUAACAUAACCUUUUCUCCAAGACAGUAUUGGAGCAAUGCACACACCGCAUUCUAGCUACAAAAUACAGCACUUGGGUAGGACAGCCGUGUGAUACAGAUUCCACCCGACCUUCUUGGCCACCCUCAGGUAAACCCUUAAAUUACCGGAAAGAUUGAAGUCUUCCCAGGAAAAUGAAUGUAGGAGUAAAAAUACCGUUUUUUCUUUCCUUUUUUUUACUUAAAAGCUGGCGAUGGUAGGAGAGGAAAUAACACACAUAAGUGAUCUGCACGUUUUACCUUUAAAAGCUUUUGAACUCCAUCGAAAGACACAGGUUGUGAGCAGAACUGACAGUUUUAAUUCUACCCAUUUUCACGUAGCACGUCAGAUCAGAGGCACUCAUUUAUUUUAUGGGGUGGGGCAUUAGAAAAAGCAGAUAGGGUGAAUUCGAUUAUCUCUAUCCUAAAAAUCCCAGAGAAAUUAAACUCUCAUAUUGAAACGCAAACAUUUCAUUGCUCUGUACAAUUAGUCUAGACUAAUUGAAAUUUAUAAAUUCACAUUCUCUCUAAUCGUGUGCUUUUCAUCCUCCCUACCCCCACCCCCAGGAUUCCAGCGAAGUCUGGUAGGUAAGGAUGUGAUGUUGUUUUAGUAAACCUAAAGCACUUUCAUUUUCUUUUUAAUGUAUUUAAAUAGGUCUGUUUGGACAUUCAAAGAAGCUACACAUACAAAGAUGGUUUAAAAAAUCUGAGCGUCCCUAUACUCAUCCUUGCCUCGAAUAAUAAUGUUGCUUGAAGAAAUUCAUCGGCCUUCUCCAGAUACUUCCAGGUUUGCUGUAAUGAUCUGCAGAAGAGAACUGCCACCCCUUUCUCACAUCCCAAGGUGUUGGCGGAACUGGAGCGAGGCGGAGAGAGGCUGCAGUGCGUAAUUGCAGAGGGGAGGGCGGGCGGGGUGCCUCCUGGGAUCCAGGGCAGGGGUUGGGGAGGUAAGAUGCAACCCAGGAAAGGUCUUUCUGGACGCUGGAGUCGCCAGUUGGAGAAUAUUUGGACAAGGUAUGAUUGCCUUAUCCCCCCCCUCCUCCCCGUCUCUAUCCCGAUGCCUUUGGGGAGAAGAGAUACCCUUGUGUAACAAUUAGCUCAGACAAUAAAAAUAAUUGGAAAAUCA